rnacentral:lncRNA from 1 species
UGAUAGGGAUGCUCCAACCUCACGGACUUGAAACAGCAGCGGAGAUCAUGAAUGAACAGCAGCGGACAAGAUAUGGAAUGCAGCAGAGAUGAGAUGCGGUGGAACUGAGUUGCGGUUGCAAUCUGAGAUACGGCAAAUGAGAUGCGGAGAGAGUUUGGAUAAUAAAGUGAUAGAGAAUCACGCAGAAUGGAGUAGGUGUUUAGGUGAAGGAAGUUGAUGGUGGAAGUGAGCUUUGGUGGUGAUGGAGACUAGCUCAGCCGGCCUUCCAUUGGAAGGAAGCUAGUUGAGAUGUGGAGAAGCUCAGGGAGGACUUUCGGCCAGAGUUUCAGAUGCUGGACAGUUUCAACAGCAAAGAGAAAUCUCAUUACAUCCAAAAGUGUGUUCUCAUUACAUCCAAAAGUGUGUUACAAGCUUUGCCAAUGAGAUUUUAUAGAUCAAUCUCAAGGCCAUGCAUGGGAAAUAUCAGAUCUACAUGUUUCAGAUCUCAUUCCAACUAAUUAACCAUGUGCUAAAUGUGUGUGGCUUCUAGAAAGCUUUAUUAAACACAUGUAAAAUAUGCU